rnacentral:misc_RNA from 1 species
GAUGAAGAACGUAGCGAAAUGCGAUACGUAAUGUGAAUUGCAGAAUUCAGUGAAUCAUCGAGUCUUUGAACGCACAUUGCGCCCCUCGGUAUUCCGUGGGGCAUGCCUGUUCGAGCGUCAUUUAACCCCUCAAGCCUAGCUUGGUAUUGGGUGCUUGUCCCGCCUCUCGCGCGGCGACUCACCUCAAAGUCAUUGGCAGCCCGCAUCUCGCCGGCCGUGAGCGCAGCACAGACGCGCUCUUGGCAACGACGGAUCGGCUCUCCAAAAGCUUAUUUCAACCACUGACCUCGGAUCAGGUAGGGAUACCCGCUGAACUUAAGCAUAUCAAUAAGCGGAGGA